AUUGAACGCUGGCGGCAGGCCUAACACAUGCAAGUCGAGCGGAUGAAGGGAGCUUGCUCCUGGAUUCAGCGGCGGACGGGUGAGUAAUGCCUAGGAAUCUGCCUGGUAGUGGGGGAUAACGUCCGGAAACGGGCGCUAAUACCGCAUACGUCCUGAGGGAGAAAGUGGGGGAUCUUCGGACCUCACGCUAUCAGAUGAGCCUAGGUCGGAUUAGCUAGUUGGUGGGGUAAAGGCCUACCAAGGCGACGAUCCGUAACUGGUCUGAGAGGAUGAUCAGUCACACUGGAACUGAGACACGGGCCAGACUCCUACGGGAGGCAGCAGUUGGGAAUAUUGGACAAUGGGCGAAAGCCUGAUCCAGCCAUGCCGCGUGUGUGAAGAAGGUCUUCGGAUUGUAAAGCACUUUAAGUUGGGAGGAAGGGCAGUAAGUUAAUACCUUGCUGUUUUGACGUUACCAACAGAAUAAGCACCGGCUAACUUCGUG
rnacentral:rRNA from 1 species